CAUAUAUCAGCCAUACUUUCUCAGAUCUCCUUGAGCUGUUUAAAAACUUCGUGUUUCAGUGAGUAGCAGUCACGUAUAUUAGCCUAUAGUUAUUUGGUUACUCCGAUGUGGGGAUCAGACACGGCAGAAGGCAUGAAAUGUUGUUGAUAUGUCUCUAGGAAACUCAUGUAUUUGGUGCUGAGCCACGUAAAGUCAAAGUAGUUUCAGUGGAAGAGGGAGAAGAUGUUGCUCUGCUUAGUGGUGAGACUGAAAUAAAGAGGAGUGAUAACAUACUGUGGAUGUUUGGAGACCAUCGCACACUCUUAGCUGAAAUCCAUUUAAAGAACAAAGUCUUCGAAACGUAUGACGAUGGGAGAUUUGGCAGCAAUCUGGAGCUGGACAGAUAUACUGGAUCUCUCAUCAUCAGAAACACCAAAUCCACACACUCUGGAGUUUAUCAUAUGAAGAUUAUCAAAAAAAGCGCAACCGUAUACAAGAGAUUCCAGGUCAAAGUCAGAGGUGGUGAAAAGCCAAAACCUCCCAUCAAAAAACCAUGGGAAACCCUUCCAAUACAUGAUAUCGUAAAAAUGGUUAUGUCCUUCAUGUUUGCAGGACUGAUUGGAGUCGUACUCAUUACAUGCUGUUUCUGGUGUAUGUGAAAAAAAUGAGUUUUCUAUUUAUCUUGUGACUAGUUUGUUGUUGAAAGAAAGUGCAACCUUGUUAAUCAUUUGUUCACUGAUAAUUUGGUUUGGUAUUUUAACUAAUCAAGUAAAAUUUUUAUAUUUUCUUGUGUUUUAAGUGUCCAAGUAUGUUUUAGAGCCAUAAAUAAAUAAUAAAUAAAUAAAUAAUUAAAUAAG